AUGACAUACAAGCAUCUUAUGAAACUCAACUUGAAAUCCAACACCUGCUUUAGUUUUUGUUUGUGGUGA
rnacentral:rRNA from 1 species